UCUAUCACAUUAGAUGUUGUUCUAUUUCCUGUCCAGUCAUAUGGUCUAUCACAUUAGAUGUUUCUAUUUCCUGUCCAGUCAUAUGGUCUACACAUUAGAUGUUUUCUAUUUCCUGUCCAGUCAUAUGGUCUAUCACAUUAGAGUUUUUCUAUUUCCUGUCCAGUCAUAUGGUCUAUCACAUUAGAUGUUUUCUAUUUCCUGUCCAGUCAUAUGGUCUAUCACAUAGAUGGUUUCUAUUUCCUGUCCAGUCAUAUGGUCCUAUCACAUCAGAUGUUUUCUAUUUCCGGUCCAGUCAUAUGGUCUAUCACAUUAGUUUUUCUAUUUCCUGUCCAGUCAUAUGGUCUAUCACAUUAGAUGUUUUCUAUUUCCUUCGGUCAUAUGGUCUAUCACAUUAGAUGUUUUCUAUUUCCUGUCCAGUCAUAUGGUCUAUCACAUUAGAUUUUUUCUAUUUCCGGUCC
rnacentral:lncRNA from 1 species